GACGAACGCUGGCGGCGCGCCUAACACAUGCAAGUCGAACGGAGUCAAGAGGAGCUUGCUUUUCUUGACUUAGUGGCGAACGGGUGAGUAACGCGUGAGUAACCUGCCCUGGAGUGGGGGACAACAGUUGGAAACGACUGCUAAUACCGCAUAAGCCCACGGAUCUGCAUGGAUCUGCGGGAAAAGGAUUUAUUCGCUCUAGGAUGGACUCGCGUCCAAUUAGCUAGUUGGUGAGGUAACGGCCCACCAAGGCGACGAUUGGUAGCCGGACUGAGAGGUUGAACGGCCACAUUGGGACUGAGACACGGCCCAGACUCCUACGGGAGGCAGCAGUGGGGGAUAUUGCACAAUGGGGGAAACCCUGAUGCAGCGACGCCGCAUGGAGGAAGAAGGUUUUCGGAUUGUAAACUCCUGUCGUUAGGGACGAUAAUGACGGUACCUAACAAGAAAGCACCAGCUAACUACGUG
rnacentral:rRNA from 1 species